rnacentral:rRNA from 1 species
UACGUAGGGGCCGAGCGUUGUCCGGAGUUAUUGGGCGUAAAGCGUGCGCAGGCGGUUUUCCAAGACAGAUGUGAAAUCCCCGGGCUCAACCUGGGAAUUGCAUUUGUGACUGCACGGCUAGAGUGUGUCAGAGGGGGGUAGAAUUCCACGUGUGAGCAGUGAAAUGCGUAGAGAUGUGGAGGAAUACCGAUGCGAAGGCAGCCCCCUGGGAUAACACUGACGCUCAUGCACGAAGCGUGGGGAGAAACAGG